GCGGCGUGCUUAACACAUGCAAGUCGAGCGGUAAGGCCCUUUCGGGGGUACACGAGCGGCGAACGGGUGAGUAACACGUGAGCAAUCUGCCCCUGUCUCUGGGAUAACCACUGGAAACGGUGGCUAAUACCGGAUAUGACCUCCUUCUGCAUGGUUGGUGGUGGAAAAGUCCGCUGGACAGGGAUGAGCUCGCGGCCUAUCAGCUUGUUGGUGGGGUAAUGGCCUACCAAGGCGACGACGGGUAGCCGGCCUGAGAGGGUGACCGGCCACACUGGGACUGAGACACGGCCCAGACUCCUACGGGAGGCAGCAGUGGGGAAUAUUGGACAAUGGGCGAAAGCCUGAUCCAGCAACGCCGCGUGAGGGAUGACGGCCUUCGGGUUGUAAACCUCUUUCAGCAGGGACGAAGCGAAAGUGACGGUACCUGCAGAAGAAGGACCGGCCAACUACGUGCCAGCAGCCGCGGUAAUACGUAGGGUCCGAGCGUUGUCCGGAAUUAUUGGGCGUAAAGGGCUCGUAGGCGGUUUGUCACGUCGGGAGUGAAAACUCAGGGCUUAACCCUGAGCGUGCUUCCGAUACGGGCUGACUAGAGGGAUGCAGGGGAGAACGGAAUUCCUGGUGUAGCGGUGGAAUGCGCAGAUAUCAGGAGGAACACCGGUGGCGAAGGCGGUUCUCUGGGCAUUUCCUGACGCUGAGGAGCGAAAGCAUGGGGAGCGAACAGGAUUAGAUACCCUGGUAGUCCAUGCCGUAAACGUUGGGCGCUAGGUGUGGGGACCUUCCACGGUUUCCGUGCCGCAGCUAACGCAUUAAGCGCCCCGCCUGGGGAGUACGGCCGCAAGGCUAAAACUCAAAGGAAUUGACGGGGGCCCGCACAAGCGGCGGAGCAUGCUGAUUAAUUCGAUGCAACGCGAAGAACCUUACCUGGGUUUGACAUAUGCCGGAAAGCGCCAGAGAUGGUGCCCCUUU
rnacentral:rRNA from 1 species